GAUGAACGCUGGCGGCGUGCCUAAUACAUGCAAGUCGAGCGAACGGGUGAGAAGCUUGCUUCUCUGAUGUUAGCGGCGGACGGGUGAGUAACACGUGGAUAACCUACCUAUAAGACUGGGAUAACUUCGGGAAACCGGAGCUAAUACCGGAUAAUAUUUUGAACCGCAUGGUUCAAAAGUGAAAGACGGUCUUGCUGUCACUUAUAGAUGGAUCCGCGCUGCAUUAGCUAGUUGGUAAGGUAACGGCUUACCAAGGCAACGAUGCAUAGCCGACCUGAGAGGGUGAUCGGCCACACUGGAACUGAGACACGGUCCAGACUCCUACGGGAGGCAGCAGUAGGGAAUCUUCCGCAAUGGGCGAAAGCCUGACGGAGCAACGCCGCGUGAAUGAUGAAGGUCUUCGGAUCGUAAAACUCUGUUAUUAGGGAAGAACAUAUGUGUAAGUAACUGUGCACAUCUUGACGGUACCUAAUCAGAAAGCCACGGCUAACUACGUG
rnacentral:rRNA from 1 species